ACCCUAGCCGCCCACCGCCGCCGGAAAUCGCCCAAGGCGGCGGCCCAUCUCCAAUCACCUCCAACUUUUCACCACGCAAUCACCACGUCCUUCUCAUCCCAUAUCUCCCAUUCGUUUCCCUCAAAAACCUUUAGAAUUGUUCGAUUUGUAGAUCUAGAAAUGAAACCCUAGACCUCCUCUUCGUCGACGAUAGCUGUUUUGGUCCCUUAAUCGUUUGAAUGGCUAGAAUUUUCUUAAAACCUUCGCUUUUUCUUUGUUCUCGGCUUGCAAGAGUUAUUAUCAUACGUAGCACUAGCCAAAUGGAGAAAUAUCGGUCAGUGCUCGUGUAAUAAUAACUUUUGUUCGUUGAAUUCUGGCUCGCUGGAGUUGUUUGUAUCCUCCUGGUGUUUGCUAAAUUUGUAUAUCUCCCUUCCCUUUCUUAAAUUGGCUGUUUAAUCACAUAUUCGUAUGAUCAUGUGAUCUGAUUUGGGGUUAAUUCCAGUGUUUAAUCGUCUUCGUAAUUACUUUUGUGCUUUAGUG
rnacentral:lncRNA from 1 species